ensembl:lncRNA
CCUGUGAGUAGGUACCUUGGCAUAACUAAGAUUGUUUAUGAUGUGUGUUUCAUGUUUUUGUGUGUGCAUGUCAAAUUUAUUCGUGUUAGCUGAAGGUUUUACAUGUCUGUUGGCAGGUGAAGGAACUAUAUCAAGAAGUGGUCUGUAAAGUUCAGGGACUACAGCCAACUGGGAUAGGCGGAGCAAGUGAAGGGGUGGAGCAUCUGCGCAUGGGGGUGGAGCGUGAGGCAGAGCGUCGACAGGGUCUGGGGGUGCAGCUGAGUCAGCUGACAGAUGCACAGCUUCAGGCACUAAGGGCAGAGCUGAGGAUCCAGCGGUAUACCCACCAAACCGUACACUCAUGGAUGAGAGAGGGUUUGAGGCUGCUGGGUCAGGUUACUGACAGCCUUGCCCCACUCUGGGAUGGACAAAGAGAGCAGUAUGUUCUUUCUCCUCAGAUAAUUCAGUAAAACAAUUAAUUAUUUAUCAAUAAUCAAAAACCUAAAAUUUGUCAUUAUUACAGAAUUUACUGCUAUUAUUAUCAUUUAUUUAUUAUUUACUACAUCUGCUUCCAGACCCUACAUUUCAUGUCCUACUAGUUCCCUUCUUACGUUUUUCAAACAAAAUGCACAUAUUUUCUCUAUAGCUGGAUCUGGCAAUCUGAGUACAAUUUGAAUACUGAAGAGAGUUUAUUAUGUCAACUUGAAUCUUGGGUUAUUUGUACCACAUUUUCUUGCUGCUAUGUGGCUGCUGGCUGCUCCAUGACCAGUUUACUCCAGACGGUGGCAGGCCUGGCACAUGAGAUGACAGAACUGGUGACAUCCGAGUGCCAUCGUCAGGGUGCCUGGGCCGUGCUUAAAGAGGCAACAGGAGCACGACUCUUAUGCCCUAAAACAGGCACUGCCCUCAGCAAAGAUGACAUCAUCUACAGGUCGGCUGCUGCCUAUGGCUGGGAAUGUGGCCUUUGAUCCGUCCAGCUCCACUCUGGUCUUCACAUCUGACUCAUGCUGGGGAGAUGCUGGAAAAUGGGAAUUACCAUUACUGCCAUUUAUUCCAUACCCUCCGAGCCAGCAUACAGACCACCGUUAUGCAUUUCGCCUCAAAGGGCUGCGGCCGGGACAGAAGCUGCAGCUGGGCGGGGCUAUGUGUGACCAGGACACAGGUGUUCUAGUACCCAUCAUGGCAGUGACCAUCCACCCCCAAACUAGACUGGUGUACCCUCUGGGCGGCGUGUACAUAUGCCCAAUCACACGCCUUUACCAGCCCAUUCAGAUUGGCUCCCCUAUGCUGGACCCCCGCACUGGAAAUCUGGCACUCAUCACUGGGAUCAGUCUGGACCCUAUCACAGGGGUGGUUUUACCAGUGGGUGGGCUCAUAAUUGGAGAGUCAUUCAUUGAACCAUUAAGUGGUCGCCCGGUGCGAGUGGGAGGAGCAACAGUUCGUGGAGGUAGGCUGGUACCCCACAGUGGAGGCUUCCAGGCCCUGCUGGACAGCCAGGCCCUGGGUGCAUCUGACAGAGCAGCGAAGCUGUUGCUGAACCUCAGUAAAGGAGCUUGGGGCACUGACACUCCGGCGCUACAAGGACAGUUGAGCCAAUUGCUGACAGCUGCAGCAGAGCUGGACCAGGCCUGGAGAAGCAGCCACCACUGCAGCCUGCAGCUGAUUUGCCGCAUAGAGGCAGUGCACCAUUGGGCCUUGGGGGUGGCACAGGAUGGAGGCAGCCUUGGUGAGAUUCAGGUGCCUGGAACAGGAGUCUGCCUUCCAGCUCUUCUUGGAAUGGAAUAUCCUGACCCUGGUGGCUCUGGCCUCAAUGUUCCAGUUCUGGGGGCACAACUGGUCUGGGAGUUGGGUGAUAUGGUAGCUCUGGCUGGAACUAUGGAGGAUGCAGAAGGCAAAGGACUGGUCCCUAUUCGUCUGGGUGCUCUGGCAGUGGACCCAGUAACUGGUGUACUUGCUCCUGUGGUGGGCGUGCGAUUGGAUGUGCUGAAGAAGACAGUGGUGCCUGUAACUGUGUCCCAGUACCUAGCCAUUGGACACAGCCCUGACACCAUUGAGAUGGAAACUCUACAGAAUGAGGUGUCUGUGAGGAGCCGGUACUGGAAACAGCAGAGGAAGAAGGAGGAGGAGCUUUUGGGAGAUUUAUUGGGAGCACUGCGGCACUGUCUUUACACCUCCUCCCAGCAGGAGUCACAUAGGGGCCACUGGUCCGACUGGGAGGCUCAACUGGGAGAGACUGUGCAGGAGCUCCAGGAGCGAGCACAGAGGGAGACCCAAAGGCGAGCGGUCCAGGCCUUUGAUCAGGCUCUGCUGCUUGCACAUCAUGUGCAGUUUAUUCUUACAGAAGGUGAGGAGGAGGAGUGGGAACAGCAGUGUGAGUGGCAGGCAGAGCUUGAGUCUAACCUCAGCAGGAUAAAUGUGUGUGUGGAGCAGAUGCAGCGAGAGGUUGAGGAGGCCAAGAGUCGCAAUAUUCAACUGCAUGAAGGCACCAGGCAGAGGGAAUUGUGGGAGCAACUAAACAUGAGGCAGGCCGAAACCGACUCUGCGUUCACUGCCAUUAUUUGUGUACGGGAACUCAGCCAAAUAUGGGCAGAGACAGCUCAGGCUGUACUGUCAGGGGCAUUCUGGUACAGAGACUUCAGCCUGACCUUAUCUUGCCACCCACCAAAUCCUCUGAAGAUGCUGAUGAUGACUCAGUGUAAAAUUGUCCCUCAGCUUGAGCGCCUUCUCCAGCAGUUAGAGGACAAUGAGCACUUCAGUCUCUCCACAAACACACAUCGGAAGCAGCGCUCAGGCCUGUCAGCAAAGCAGACGUCUGGGAUAGAGACCAGCUCCAGGGAGUGGACAGCCUCUGUCUCUGCAGGAAAAGACACAAAAGAGUCUCCAAAUGGUUGCAUCCAGCCGGACUCUAUCAGCAUUCCAGCACUGACAGUAGAGGAAUGGAGCUCUCUUCUGCAGCUCUCCCCCCUUUUUCAACUGCUCUGUGGGCUGGAACAAGAAAUGAGACGAUUGGCAGGAAAGCUUGGCCUCUUCAAGGAAGGGGGUGUGGGCAAGAGGCACACUUUUCUGGACUUACUGGAUGCACAGCUUAAGUGCGAGGGCCAUCUGACACCCAUCAGCCCUGACAACCUAACCCCCCGAGAGUUUCUGGUUUACCAGCAUGGCCAGUUUCUACUGCAGAAAUUACACUCAAACAAAGUGAUUCCAGCUUUGCAGCUCCAGCUUGCUUGCACGCUACC